CCUACGGGGGGCAGCAGUGGGGAAUAUUGCACAAUGGGGGAAACCCUGAUGCAGCGACGCCGCGUGAAGGAAGAAGUAUUUCGGUAUGUAAACUUCUAUCAGCAGGGAAGAAAAUGACGGUACCUGACUAAGAAGCCCCGGCUAACUACGUGCCAGCAGCCGCGGUAAUACGUAGGGGGCAAGCGUUAUCCGGAUUUACUGGGUGUAAAGGGAGCGUAGACGGCUGUGCAAGCCAGAUGUGAAAGCCCGGGGCUCAACCCCGGGACUGCAUUUGGAACUGCGUGGCUUGAGUGUCGGAGAGGCAG
rnacentral:rRNA from 1 species